CCAGUAGCACAAGAAGCUGUGGCUUUGGCAAAUGGCCAGAAAGCAAAAGUCAUUGGAAGAGAAAGGAGUUUAUAUAUGGAUCUUUUGUUGAAAUUGCCUACAUCCAAACAAAACCCAGACAGCUUCAGCCAGCAGAUCUACACAAUGAUUAGACCCUCAAUAGUAAAGCCUACUUAGAAAGCCCCAAGUUUGGAUAACAUCUCUAUGUACAUUGCCAAGAUAUGUAUAGCUAAUAAAAUAAAUGACAUAAGUCACAUCAGCUCUGUUUCCCAGAACAACUCUGCCCUCAAAGCAUAUUUCACAAAUAAAAGUGCUAAGUAGCUGCAGCUUUCUUUGGAGAUAUGCCCAACUGCCUAGGAAAAAGGCAAACUUUGUGAGAAGCUUACAGCGAAGAGAAAUAACCUCAUCAGGGUGUGCUUUCUGAUGAAGGCAAAAGUUGAGUCUACGGAGAUAUCUUCUUUCAGUCUUUGACAAUCAAGAUUUUAUGCCUUAUAAAACAAUUUUAAACGCCC